rfam:Triticum aestivum genome assembly, contig: Triticum_aestivum_CS42_TGACv1_scaffold_049925_1BS
UGAAUACUUCCUCCGUCCGAAAAUACUUGUCAUCAAAAUGGAUAAAAAGGGAUGUAUCUAGAACUAAAAUACAUCUAGAUACAUCCUCUUUUAUUCAUUUUGACAAGUAUUUCCGGACGGAAGGAGUAUGAC